UCCUACGGGAGGCAGCAGUAGGGAAUCUUCCGCAAUGGACGAAAGUCUGACGGAGCAACGCCGCGUGAGUGAUGAAGGCUUUCGGGUCGUAAAACUCUGUUGUUAGGGAAGAACAAGUGCUAGUUGAAUAAGCUGGCACCUUGACGGUACCUAACCAGAAAGCCACGGCUAACUACGUGCCAGCAGCCGCGGUAAUACGUAGGUGGCAAGCGUUAUCCGGAAUUAUUGGGCGUAAAGCGCGCGCAGGUGGUUUCUUAAGUCUGAUGUGAAAGCCCACGGCUCAACCGUGGAGGGUCAUUGGAAACUGGGAGACUUGAGUGCAGAAGAGGAAAGUGGAAUUCCAUGUGUAGCGGUGAAAUGCGUAGAGAUAUGGAGGAACACCAGUGGCGAAGGCGACUUUCUGGUCUGUAACUGACACUGAGGCGCGAAAGCGUGGGGAGCAAACAGGAUUAGAUACCCUGGUAGUCCACGCCGUAAACGAUGAGUGCUAAGUGUUAGAGGGUUUCCGCCCUUUAGUGCUGAAGUUAACGCAUUAAGCACUCCGCCUGGGGAGUACGGCCGCAAGGCUGAAACUCAAAGGAAUUGACGGGGGCCCGCACAAGCGGUGGAGCAUGUGGUUUAAUUUCGA
rnacentral:rRNA from 1 species